rnacentral:sRNA from 1 species
GUUUAGCCCUGAUGGAAGCGGCAUCCUUUUGAGGCUUUUGCCGAAAAAGAUAAAGCGAACAGCAGGAAAGUUG